rnacentral:tRNA from 1 species
GGGCACGUAGCCUAGCCCGGAUAUGGCGUGGGCCUCCUAAGCCCAAGAUCGGGGGUUCGAAUCCCCCCGUGCCCG